rnacentral:rRNA from 1 species
AUUGAACGCUGGCGGCAGGCCUAACACAUGCAAGUCGAACGGAGCUGCGGACGGGUGAGUGAGGCCUAGUAAUCUGCCUGUUAGUGGGGUAUAACGUACAGAAGAGUGCGCUAAUGCAGCAUACGAGCAAGUCAGCCUAGGUCGGAUUAGCUAGUUGGUGGGGUAAAGGCUUACCAAGGCGACGAUCCAUAACUGGUCUGAGAGGAUGAUCCGCCACACUGGAACUGAGACACGGCCCAGACUCCUACGGGAGGCAGCAGUAGGGAAUAUUGGACAAUGGGCGAAAGUCUGACCCAGCCAUGCCGCGUGAGUGAAGAAGGUCUUCGGAUUGUAAAGCACUUUAAGUUGGGAGGCGUUACCUACACAAUAAGCCACGGCUAACUUCGUGCCAGCAGCCGCGGUAAUUC